UAGGAGUCAAUAGUAAUUAAGAGUAAAAUUUUUAAAUAUCUUUUUUCUAAAAAAAUAUAUAUUUUCCCCAAAAAGCUGAAACAUGUGUGGAAGAAUCCAUAGGUAGAGUAGAUUCAAGUUUGUACAAAUCAUGAUCCCUGGGUGUAGGGAGGGGCCACAGAGGGGGGUUGGGGGUUGAGGUUGUGAUGAAAUUUUUCAAAAUAUUUACAUAAGAAUAUGUGGAAAAUUUUUUUGAAGAUCUUUAUUAACAACAUUGUCGAGAUAUUUUGUACUUGAUACCAUAAAGCUGAUUUGAUCAGAGUUAUGGUUAUUGUUGCUCAGGUGAGAGAUGUGGCCCAUAGGACUCUUAUUAGUAAUGUUCUCAGUUUAAAUAAAAAUUAAUCAAGAAAAAAAAAAUUAAGUUUUUUCAUCAAAUACUAUAUUAUGCAAUGUGAUUUAUGUUGAAGAAUAUACAUGUCAAAACAUGUUAAAAAUUUAAAGUCCCGGUGCCGGAAUUUAAUUAGCUCUGAAAAUAUAUACGCCGGAUGUUCCGUUAUAGUCUUGCGCACGCGUCAAUUAAAUUCUAUUCCACGAGGGUGUUUAAAAUCGGCGUAAAUCAGAAAUCUUUCUGAGAAAGACAAUCCUGAGUGCUCCAUCACCAAAUUUUGUGUUCCAUAAAUACUAGAAAUGCCUAUAGAUGGAUUAGUUGUUUAUGGCCAUUACAAUGGCUCAAGAGGUAGCAAUACCCCAGGAUUCAGCAAUGGGUUGGGAAAUGGCAGCACACCAGUUCCAGGAUUUAGCAAUGAAACUGUACAUGCUGGGACUGACUUAGAUGGUUCAGGAGGACAGGAAUGGAUUCAGAUAACUAUACUCAUCCUGUUUGUAGUCUUUCUCCCCCCAAUAUUGUUUGGGAGUGUACGCUGGUGGAGACGUAGAAGAUUUGGUAUGCGUAAUGGCAAUGUACCAGCUGUUCAAUUUGAACAAGUAGCUCACAAUCUGAAUGAUUAAUAAAGGCUUAUUUAAAGAAAUUCAAUAUUCUUUUCUUUCUUUUGCUAAUAUUAAUUAAGCAUUGAGUAUUUGUUUUAUUUAUGAAAGAUGUGGUCUCAUACAGUCUCUGAAUCUUUUGACUUUCCCUUUUGAAUAUGAGCACAUGGUGAACGCUUUGUGAAUAGUGAGUGCGAACGGAGCGGAGGGCUCAAGUGAACACACCGAAAUAUAGGAAAGUAGAAUGUUUUGGGGAUGUAACUGCAAUGGUGAAUGCACACAAACUGAGAAAUGUACCCAUAAGCUAGCAU